rnacentral:rRNA from 1 species
AUUGAACGCUGGCGGCAGGCUUAACACACGCAAGUCGAGCGGGGUGAUGGUGCUUGCACUAUCACUUAGCGGCGGACGGGUGAGUAAUGCUUAGGAAUCUGCCUAUUAGUGGGGGACAACAUCUCGAAAGGGAUGCUAAUACCGCAUACGUCCUACGGGAGAAAGCAGGGGAUCACUUGUGACCUUGCGCUAAUAGAUGAGCCUAAGUCGGAUUAGCUAGUUGGUGGGGUAAAGGCCUACCAAGGCGACGAUCUGUAGCGGGUCUGAGAGGAUGAUCCGCCACACUGGGGCUGAGACAGGGCCCAGACUCCUACGGGAGGCAGCAGGGGGGAAUAUUGGACAAUGGGGGGAACCCUGAUCCAGCCAUGCCGCGUGUGUGAAGAAGGCCUUAUGGUUGUAAAGCACUGUAAGCGAGGAGGAGGCUCUUUUGGUUAAUACCCAAGAUGAGUGGACGUUACUCGCAGAAUAAGCACCGGCUAACUCUGUGCCAGCCGCCGCAGUAA